rnacentral:rRNA from 1 species
AGAGUUUGAUCCUGGCUCAGAACGAACGCUGGCGGCGUGGAUAAGACAUGCAAGUCGAGCGGGAUUUUUUCCUGUAGCAAUACAGGGAAAAGUCUAGCGGCGAACGGGUGCUUAACACGUGGGCAACCUGCCAAGAAGUGGGGGAUAGCUCGCCGAAAGGCGAAUUAAUACCGCAUGUGAUCAGAAUGGACAUCCAUUCAAAAUUAAAGUCGGGGCAACCUGACGCUUCUUGAGGGGCCCGCGGCCUAUCAGCUAGUUGGUGGGGUAACGGCCCACCAAGGCUUAGACGGGUAGCUGGUCUGAGAGGACGACCAGCCACACUGGGACUGAGACACGGCCCAGACACCUACGGGUGGCAGCAGUCGAGAAUUUUUCUCAAUGGGGGAAACCCUGAAGGAGCGACGCCGCGUGGAGGAUGAAGGUCUUCGGAUUGUAAACUCCUGUCAUUGGGGAACAAUGCGCAAAUAUUAACUGUAUUUGCGUUGAUAGUACCCGAAGAGGAAGAGACGGCUAACUCUGUGCCAGCAGCCGCGGUAAUACAGAGGUCUCAAGCGUUGUUCGGAUUCAUUGGGCGUAAAGGGUGCGUAGGCGGCGCGGUAAGUCGGGUGUGAAAUCUCGGAGCUUAACUCCGAAACGGCAUUCGAUACUGCCGUGCUUGAGGACUGGAGAGGAGACUGGAAUUUACGGUGUAGCGGUGAAAUGCGUAGAUAUCGUAAGGAAGACCAGUGGCGAAGGCGGGUCUCUGGACAGUUCCUGACGCUGAGGCACGAAGGCCAGGGGAGCAAACGGGAUUAGAUACCCCAGUAGUCC